AUUGAACGCUGGCGGCAGGCCUAACACAUGCAAGUCGAGCGGAUGAAGGGAGCUUGCUCCUGGAUUCAGCGGCGGACGGGUGAGUAAUGCCUAGGAAUCUGCCUGGUAGUGGGGGAUAACGUCCGGAAACGGGCGCUAAUACCGCAUACGUCCUGAGGGAGAAAGUGGGGGAUCUUCGGACCUCACGCUAUCAGAUGAGCCUAGGUCGGAUUAGCUAGUUGGUGGGGUAAAGGCCUACCAAGGCGACGAUCCGUAACUGGUCUGAGAGGAUGAUCAGUCACACUGGAACUGAGACACGGACCAGACUCCUACGGGAGGCAGCAGUGGGGAAUAUUGGACAGUGGGCGAAAGCCUGAUCCAGCCAUGCCGCGUGUGUGAAGAAGGUCUUCGGAUUGUAAAGCACUUUAAGUUGGGGGGAAGGGCAGUAAGUUAAUACCUUGCUGUUUUGACGUUACCAACAGAAUAAGCACCGGCUAACUUCGUG
rnacentral:rRNA from 1 species